CAAGAAUUUUGAAGACAUCCAACUUCCAUUUUUUUUUCCUUCUACAAUUUGCAGAGAACUUCUAAGAGAGAGUUUGGAAGAUGAAGAGGAAUUUUACUAGAAUUUUGAGGUUGAAGAAGAGGAGGAGAACUCAAGCAAAGUGUAUCCAUGGCUGAAUUUUAGUUCAUUCUGCACAUCACUGGUUUUUAAUUCGGUUUGAACUCUUCAAAAGGAAUUAAGAGGGCAGUUGGUUUUCACUCGAAAUCAGGAGGUCUCUUGUUUUUCUUGUAUUUUAGAGUGUACCAGUGGAGUUAGAAUCUCUAUUUGUUAAAUUGUAGGGACAAGUUAAAGAGGUCAUGUGCGCGCGAUUCUAGAAGUGGUUCUGUUUCGAGGAUUAUCUGAGUUUAUGCACGGAGAAUCAGAUUUACAUGUCUUCAGAUAAGUUUUAGAGGAUUUCAAAAUGAAGAUUUUGAUAUAAAGAACACUCAUUUUGGUUAUGUAUUGAGAAGGUUAUAGUCCUUUGAAGUUUAUGUUAGAAAUCUGGAAAUUUCAGAGAAUUGUUGAAAUAGGAUUUUAUUUCUUAAGCUUUGUUUUCGCGAGCGUCAUCUUUGGUGCGACAUGUUAUGUAUAUCUUUAGAAAACUAGAAAGUUUAGAGUUUUAAUACUCGGUUGGGUUGUUGGCAGGCCGAGAAGAAUUAAACCGAGCUUAUAAACCAAGGAUCUAGCCCAAGACUCUAGAGAUCGAGUUCCCGAUGUCUGAUAGACUGCCUUAGUCUGCUGAAGCUCCAUUAUCAAUUGCAAGUCUUAAAAAACCUAAGCUAUUGGCUGAAGACAUAAAAUGAUAGUACAAAGUCAAAAGAGAAUCACAGUCUCAGUUGUUUAAACAAGUAGACAUGACCCAGACAAGAUAACAAAAUCCCAUCAAGAAGCUGUUAAAAAUCUCAUAUGGACCGGACAUGGCCAAUAUCAGACUGCUUCGAGUUAUCACUGGAAAAUCUUUCUGACAUUUCAGUAGAGCAACAGAAGAAAAAUUGGAAAGUGAGCUUGGCGAUGUGUUUUCCGGUAGCUGGAAAUGGUAGCCCCAGAAGUUUUCCACUGAUGAUUCUGUUUCAUUGAAAUCCUCUAACACACUCUCCGUCGCAUUAGAGAACUGGUUUAUGACUUCCAUAUUGAAGGUCAUUUCUUCAGAUGCUUUGGAAGACUUGAAGUGUUGCAGAAGUUCUCUUUUGAGAAGCAUAGCUAGACUACAGAUGAUAAGAAGCAGAAGCCGACUAAAUUAGCAGGUCUCACUUUUCUCUGAAGAGUUUGUUAUGGUCUCGGGUUGAAGUAUCUUCUUGCCCUCCAUGACUACGUCUCCUUUUGAUUCCACUCCAAAAUUUUGGUGAUAACCCUCACACAUCUCAACAACUUUAUCGUUUGAAUCAUCCUUCUUUACUUGUGGAAGAUCUCCAUCAUUUGGAAUUGGUUGGUCAUUUUUUCGGCAGUGGAUGAUUUUUCAUAUUUUUGAUAACUUGUGUUUGGUUCUUCCUUGCUCUUGCAACUUCAAUUGUUCGUUAAAUGAGAUGUCUUUCAAAUUGCGUAACUCAGACAGACUUUCUCAUAUAUUCUUCCAAAAUUUAUGAUGUUUAUUGGCACAA